AACGCAUCUUGCGCCCUUUGGUAUUCCUUGGGGCACACCUGUUUGAGUGUCAUGUACAUCUCGACGAGCUAUUUUUUGUAGCUUGCUCGGUCUUGGAGAGCUGCUGGCUUGUCCGGCUCUUUCCUGAAUUUAUUAGUCAAUGUCUUAACUGCAUGUGUUGGUGUAGCAAAGCUUUCGCCGCAUAUACUGUAGUAUUAUGAGACAACUUGGCUCUCUAAAACCCAAAUUUGUGUUUUGACCUCAAAUCAGGUGGGACUACCCGCUGAACUUAA
rnacentral:misc_RNA from 1 species